CGUCCUCCCGGGUGCCGAUCCUUUCCGGGCCGCCCCGCGGAAUCUAGGAGCCCGAGGCCGUCGCGUCCCCGGCUGCGGGGCUUUCUGAGGGCUUCCCCAUCCUUUGCUGACCGCCCAGAAGAACACACCAGAAAGAAUCUCUAUGCUAGCCUGGUAGGCCACUGACUGGCACGAACUAGGCACUCCUCACACGUAAUGCUGGUUCAUUUCCGGUGCAGCUGUACUUGAGUGGGACCUCCUGCAUGUGUAAGGGAUCAUAAUAUCUACUCUACAGGGCUGUAUGAGGAUUAAAAGAAGCCACGUAUGUAACACUCUUGACACUGUGCCUGGCAGGCAGGAGGUAUCUACCUUUGCAGUUGGGAGGUGCUGUAACCAGAGCAGCUGAUAUUCAAACCUGUAUCACUAAGGUUUGUGUAAGGGCAGAAACAAAAGGUAAUAGAGGAGAAUUUCCAUUUCCACAUCCCUUUCCGUAAACCUUUGGAACAUACCUGUGUUCCCAGAAAAAGUUACUGCUGUCAGUUCCUGCUUUUGACACAGGGGUACAAAGGUCCAGGCAACAGAUUCAGGCUAGCGUAGCAGUUAAGAGUGCUGGCUCUGGAGCCAGCCCAGCUGGAUUUGACUCUGCCUUUUCUAGCCCUGGGCACAGGUUGAUGGAGAUAAACCUCACUUAGUCGGCCCCUCGGAGCAGGGUGCCCUGGGCCUGGGAGCAGCUGGGACUGCAGUUCUGGAGUUUGCCACCAGGCGGCACCAGGAGUUCUCGGUGUCCGCUGUCCUGAGGAAUUGACAUUUGGCUCUGAAUUCAGUUGCUCAGCCAUUUGGGCCCUUAAAGCCCAGAAUAAGAUUGCCUAUGAGAAUGUGGUCCUGCAAAGGGAAGCUGGGCUGAAGCAAUAGCGUGUGACAAUGCACGGAAUGCCCAAUCCAUGCCAUACCCCUGGAUGAUGGUCACUGCUUCUUU